CACGUAGUUAGCCGUGGCUUAUUCAAGGGGUACCGUCUUCUGCUCUUCCCCCUUAAAAGAAGUUUACAACCCGAAAGCCUUCUUCCUUCACGCGGCGUUGCUGGGUCAGACUUGCGUCCAUUGCCCAAUAUUCCCCACUGCUGCCUCCCGUAGGAGUCUGGGCCGUAUCUCAGUCCCAAUGUGGCCGGCAACCUCUCAGUCCGGCUACUGAUCGUCGCCUUGGUGGGCCGUUACCUCACCAACUAGCUAAUCAGACGCGAGGCCAUCUUCCAGCGAUAAAUCUUUGACAUGUCUGUGAUGCCGCAGUCAUGCGUCAUGCGGUAUUAGCAGUCGUUUCCAACUGUUGUCCCCCUCUGGAAGGCAGGUUCCUCACGCGUUACUCACCAGUCCGCCACUAAGCAACUCAAUCCAUUGUCCGUAAAACUCUUUCAUUGAGCGCUCCGUUCGACUUGCAUGUGUUAAGCACGCCGCCAGCGUGUCUGACGCGAGACUACGUAAA
rnacentral:rRNA from 1 species